UCUGACUUCUCCUGGUCUCCACAAACAAAAGUCUGCUGAUGCAACCAAACAGAAUCUUUCUUAUCCAAACACCCCGCGGGCAGAUAUGUUGAAAAAGAGGCAAGCACCAGCGCCCCCCAUGGGUGUAUCCCAGACCAUCCCUGACAACUUCAAUCAUCUCAAAGGAUCACAGGGAUCUGCUGCCUCAAACUUAAAACCAACAAAAAGGAAGGCCCCGCCCCCUCCUAUUGUGAACACAUUACAGGACCUGCUGGUGGACACACCUGAUGAAGGUUAAAUGAGUGACCGUUAAACCUCUGGGUGAGCUGGAGCUGCAGGCACCUCUCUUAACCCCUCUGCUAGCAGCACACUCAGACAAGCCUCUGCUCGCGCUGAGCACAACACACCCACACAGCAACAAGCCUGCAAACAAUUACUCAUCAGCGCACCUGGACUUGACGAGGGGGAGCAGCAUAAAGACCAGCGGACCUGAGGAACCUUUGCCAGAACGUCGCUAACCUUCCAUGACUCCCAUGUCCUCCGUGAUCGUGCCUUGUUACUCGACACCCAUCCGGAUUCCUGACUGCUCUCCAUGAUCCACGACCUCCCUGCUCGGACCCAGACCACGCUGCCCUGCUAUUGCCCACGACCACUUGCCUGUCCACGAACUGCCUCUUCGCCUUGCCCCCUUGGAUAACGACGAAAGAUACAAUCAACAUUUACAGACAACAACCCUUGGUAACAUUUACAUUAUUAAUUUUACACAUAGUCAACACUCACUCACUUUGAGUAGCAUACACACGCCACGUAUUCA